CCCUUAGAUGUUCUGGGCCGCACGCGCGCUACACUGAUGCAUUCAACGAGUUUCUUCCUGGUCCGAGAGGAAUGGGUAACCUUUUGAAAGUGCAUCGUGAUAGGGAUAGACUAUUGCAAUUAUUGGUCUUCAACGAGGAAUUCCUAGUAGACGUAGUUCAUCAGACUGCAUCAAUUACGUCCCUGCCCUUUGUACACACCGCCCGUCGCUCCUACCGAUUGAAUGCUCAGGUGAGCCAUUCGGACUUUCAUCAUGCUGGUUUCCAGUUUUGAUGAAGGAAAGUCUUGCGAACCUUAUCAUUUAGAGGAAGGAGAAGUCGUAACA
rnacentral:rRNA from 1 species